GCUAACUUCGUGCCAGCAGCCGCGGUAAUACGAAGGGUGCAAGCGUUAUUCGGAAUCAUUGGGCGUAAAGCGCGCGCAGGCGGAUUGAUAAGUCAGGUGUGAAAUCUCGGGGCUCAACCUCGAAACUGCGCCUGAAACUAUUAGUCUAGAAUGUCGGAGGGGGCAGGGGAAUUUCACGUGUAGGGGUAAAAUCCGUAGAGAUGUGAAGGAACACCGGAGGCGAAGGCGCCUGCCUGGACGACUAUUGACGCUGAGGCGCGAAAGCGUGGGGAGCAAACAGGAUUAGAUACCCCUGUAGUC
rnacentral:rRNA from 1 species